AACGGGUGGUAAUGCCGGAUGCUCCAGUCCAUCGCAUGGUGGUCUGGGAAAGAUUUUAUCGGUAUGGGAUGGGGUCGCGUCCUAUCAGGUAGUCGGCGGGGUAACGGCCCACCGAGCCUACGACGGGUAGCCGGCCUGAGAGGGCGACCGGCCACAUUGGGACUGAGAUACGGCCCAGACUCCUACGGGAGGCAGCAGUGGGGAAUAUUGCACAAUGGGCGCAAGCCUGAUGCAGCGACGCCGCGUGCGGGAUGACGGCCUUCGGGUUGUAAACCGCUUUUGUUGGGGAGCAAGCCUUCGGGUGAGUGUACCCUUCGAAUAAGCACCGGCUAACUACGUGCCAGCAGCCGCGGUAAUACGUAGGGUGCAAGCGUUAUCCGGAAUUAUUGGGCGUAAAGAGCUCGUAGGCGGUUCGUCGCGUCCGGUGUGAAAGUCCAUCGCUUAACGGUGGAUCUGCGCCGGGUACGGGCGGGCUGGAGUGCGGUAGGGGAGACUGGAAUUCCCGGUGUAACGGUGGAAUGUG
rnacentral:rRNA from 1 species